AGAAUAAGUAGGUAUUGUUUCUAGCUGCUAAUUUUGGAAUGUGUGUUGGAAUGUGUUACGCAGCUGUAGAUAAUUAAUACACUGCCACAGUGGCAUAUAUACUCUGCAGAGAAGGGUCCUCUCCUCAGGCCAUUGAGAGGGGGCCCUGCAGACAGCUCUCUGCCUGACAACCCGUGUUGUUGUGAACUUCCUCCUAGAGCACAGGCCUUGAUGUGGAGUGUUUCGAGGAGAGGAGCCCAGAGGACAGAGCCCUGUCUCCAACUGCCCUACCCAGGCCCCCUGCCCUCAGCUGGGCAGACGAGGAAAGUGGGAGAAGCUGCCUCACGUCCUCAAGG
rnacentral:lncRNA from 1 species